rnacentral:rRNA from 1 species
AUUGAACGCUGGCGGCAUGCCUUACACAUGCAAGUCGAACGGCAGCACGGGAGCUUGCUCCUGGUGGCGAGUGGCGAACGGGUGAGUAAUAUAUCGGAACGUACCCUAGAGUGGGGGAUAACGCAGCGAGAGUUGCGCUAAUACCGCAUACGAUCUACGGAUGAAAGUGGGGGAUCGCAAGACCUCAUGCUCAUGGAGCG